GCGAGUGUGGCGGAAUGGCAGACGCACCAGACUUAGGAUCUGGCGCCUCACGGCGUGAGGGUUCAAGUCCCUCCACUCGCACCA
rnacentral:tRNA from 10 species